GAUGAACGCUAGCGGCAGGCUUAAUACAUGCAAGUCGAGGGGUAGCAAGAUUGUAGCAAUACAAUUGUUGACGACCGGCAAACGGGUGCGGAACACGUGCACAACCUUCCUACAAGUGGGGAAUAGCCCAGAGAAAUUUGGAUUAAUACCCCGUAGCAUAGCGAUGUGGCAUCACAUUGCUAUUAUAGCUUCGGCGCUUGUUGAUGGGUGUGCGGCUGAUUAGAUAGUUGGCGGGGUAACGGCCCACCAAGUCUACGAUCAGUAGCUGAUGUGAGAGCAUGAUCAGCCACACGGGCACUGAGACACGGGCCCGACUCCUACGGGAGGCAGCAGUAAGGAAUAUUGGACAAUGGCCGCAAGUCUGAUCCAGCCAUGCCGCGUGAAGGAUUAAGGUCCUCUGGAUUGUAAACUUCUUUUAUAAGGGACGAAAAAAGGUCUUUCUAGAUCGUCUGACGGUACCUUAUGAAUAAGCACCGGCUAACUCCGUGCCAGCAGCCGCCGCGGUAA
rnacentral:rRNA from 1 species